CCUACGGGAGGCAGCAGUGAGGAAUAUUGGUCAAUGGGCGCGAGCCUGACCCAGCAAAGUAGCGUGAAGGAUGAAUGCCCUACGGGUUGUAAACUUCUUUUAUAAAGGAAUACAGUGAGGCACGUGUGCCUUUUUGUAUGUACUUUAUGAAUACGGAUCGGCUAACUCAGUGACAGCAGCCGCGGUAAUACGGAGGAUCCGAGCGUUAUCCGGAUUUAGUGGGUUUAACGGGAGCGUAGAUGGGUUGUUAAGUCAGUUGUGAAAGUGUGCGGCUCAACCGUAGAAUUGCAAUUGAUACUGGCAGACUUGAGUACAGUUGAGGUAGGUGGAAUUCGAGGUGUAGCGGUGAAAUGCUUAGAGAUCACGAAGAACUCCGAUGGCGAAGGCAGCUUACUAAACUGCCACUGACAUUGAUGCUCGAAAGUGUGGGUAUCAAACAGGAUUAGAUACCCUAGUAGUC
rnacentral:rRNA from 1 species